rnacentral:rRNA from 1 species
AGAGUUUGAUCAUGGCUCAGGAUGAACGCUAGCGACAGGCUUAACACAUGCAAGUCGAGGGGCAGCGGGGGAGUAGCAAUACUCCCGCCGGCGACCGGCGCACGGGUGAGUAACACGUAUGAAACCUGCCCGUAGCAGGGGGAUAAGCGGAAGAAAUUCCGUCUAAUACCGCGUAACAACCCUUGGAGGCAUCUCCUCGGGUUUAAAGGGAGCGAUUCCGGCUACGGAUGGUCAUGCGUCGCAUUAGCUUGUUGGCGGGGUAACGGCCCACCAAGGCGACGAUGCGUAGGGGUUCUGAGAGGAAGGUCCCCCACACUGGUACUGAGACACGGACCAGACUCCUACGGGAGGCAGCAGUGAGGAAUAUUGGUCAAUGGCCGCAGGGCUGAACCAGCCAAGUCGCGUGAGGGAUGACGGUCCUAUGGAUUGUAAACCUCUUUUGUCAAGGAGCAAAAGGCGCCACGUGUGGCGUUUUG